rnacentral:rRNA from 1 species
CACGUAGGGCGCAAGCGUUGUCCGGAAUUAUUGGGCGUAAAGAGCUCGUAGGCGGUCUGUUGCGUCCGCUGUGAAAACUCGGGGCUUAACCCCGAGCCUGCAGUGGAUACGGGCAGACUAGAGGUAGGUAGGGGAGAAUGGAAUUCCCGGUGUAGCGGUGAAAUGCGUAGAUAUCUGGAGGAACACCGGUGGCGAAGGCGGCGUCCUGGACCAACACUGACACUGAUGAGCGAAAGCCAGGGGAGCAAACGGG